rnacentral:rRNA from 1 species
UACGUAGGGUGCGAGCGUUGUCCGGAAUUACUGGGCGUAAAGAGCUCGUAGGCGGUCUGUCGCGUCUGUUGUGAAAAACUCGAGGCUCAACCUCGGGCUUGCAGUGGAUACGGGGCAGACUAGAGUGCGGUAGGGGAGACUGGAAUUCCUGGUGUAGCGGUGGAAUGCGCAGAUAUCAGGAGGAACACCGAUGGCGAAGGCAGGUCUCUGGGCCGCAACUGACGCUGAGGAGCGAAAGCAUGGGGGAGCGAACAGG